AAAGUGAAGAUAAAAACCCGAAAGGAGAGAUAAUUGUUGUUUUUGCAUAAAAACCCUUUCUUUCGAUCACAUGGUCGUGUUUCGUCUUCUCUGAUAAUAAUGGCUUCUGCUUGUCGUAAGCUCUUUAACAGAGCUUCCGUCUCUUCCCUCAAAUCCUCCCUCAGAUCAACCACCGGAUCUGCACCGGCUGCGUCAUCAGCCCGAUUUCGUCUUCCUUCUCAACCCUCUCGCCAUUUCUCAUUCUCCAGGUGUCCGUCGGAGCUGGGAUGUGUGCAGUCGCUGUUACCGCUGCACAGCACGGUGGCGGCGGCGAGGCUGACGUCGUGUCUAAGCACAACAUCAAGGAGUAGCCGAGCUCUCUCUCAGGGUACACUCUGCUGCACUUGUCCCGAUCUCUAAUGCUUUUCUCUUUACUUUUCUUAUGGAGUCGAUGGCACGUGAGAUGUGUUUGCAGUUUGUUUUGAAGGUGGGUUCUGUGAACAAUGAUCCCUGACAAGUUAGACUUGGGACAAGUUAUUUUAGAUGAGAUUUUAUUGUCUAGUUUAAAGAGUUUGGCCUUUCAGUUCCAAGGUGACUCAAAAACCGUCAUGAAGGUUAACCAUGGAAUGAUGAAAGGGGCAGGAUCUCAAAGAGUUGUUUCUUUUCUUCCCUUUGUCAAAUUUAGAGAAAAGAAGUGCCUGUCAUUCUUUUUGUGACAAAUAAGUAUCAUUGAUUACAAAUCUCAUGUACUUUGAUUUAUGAUGAGAGAAAGUGAGAAACAUUAUAUACAAAAUGUUUUGUAAGAAGUAAAAUUUAUUUUGUUACCAAAAUUAUGCAGAUUACUAUUUUGUUACAA